rnacentral:rRNA from 1 species
GACGGAGGGUGCUAGCGUUGUUCGGAAUUACUGGGCGUAAAGGGCGCGUAGGCGGCCCGUUAAGUCGGUUGUGAAAGCCCGGGGCUCAACCCCGGAACGGCAGCCGAGACUGGCGGGCUCGAGACCGGGAGAGGAGGGUGGAAUACCCAGUGUAGAGGGGAAAUUCGUAGAUAUUGGGUGGAACACCGGUGGCGAAAGCGGCUCUCUGGCCCGGCUCUGACGCUGAGGCGCGAAAGCGUGGGGAGCAAACAGG